GCAAAUUACCUGCGAGAUAAAAACAGCUUUUACCACCUCUUUCGAGUCAGUCUUGCAUUGUGGGUUUUUGUUGUGGUUCUAUAGCGAGAAACACAGAGGGCACUGCUUGUUUGUGCUCAUGCAGGAUGCAGGUGUCUAUUACUGUGCGAUGCCGGCUUGCUCUGCUGAUUCUGACUCUUGCUGUUUGUGAUGUCAGAAAUGCAAAUGGUUCUCAGUUUGCCUCCCCUGGCUCCACAAAAGGAGGAAGUGCUCGUUACCAUGACACUUCUGACAAAAUUGAGCCAUUGAAAGCUGGACCUGUUCAAAAUGGCAACAUGCACUCUGCUGGCAGUGCUCAGCCCAGAUAUAGUGGAUACUACCAACCAUUUCAACCUAGUUCCUUUCCAGUGGUUAGGGAACAAGCUGCAGACACCAGAUACAAGCCUCCGUCUCCUUCCCAAUCUGUUCCCACAGGGAAGAAACAUGUGCAGAGCAGCUACCAGUCACUCCACAGAGAGAGUGUGUACUCAAGACCAGCUCAAACUACAGUAGGCAGGUAUGAGCCUCCUUCUGCUUCAAAGCCUACCCAGACAGGCUACCGUCCCAUGCAGAGCAGCAACCAACCAAGCCUUAGCCAGCCUAAGAAAAACUACAAACCAGGUGUGAUUGGCCAGAGCACCAGCAGUGUGAUUGGCCAGAGCACCAGCAGUGUGAUCCAAGGUGGUAGACAAUUGCGUCAAAGUGGCUUUCCACCAGUGCAGGGCCAGCACAGCCAAGGUCGGCAAAGUUCCCAGAUAAGACCAAAGCCAGGAAGGCUAAUAGACCCUGCAUCCUUCAAGCCAUUAUCUGCUCCGUCAGUCCAGGGAGUUGACAAGCCCUUACCUCAGAGCCACUCUUCCCCAUCUGGUCAGAGCUUUAGCCAGGCUCCUGAGACUGCACAGACAAUGUACAAACCUACACAGACCAACUAUCAGCCAUACCAGGGCAAGAGGAACCAGCAGUUUCGACUGCCAUCUAUUGCAAGCACCCAGGAGGUGGCAUCUCCAGCCAAGCCAGUGCAGGGUUGGCAUCAGCAGGCGCGUCCAGUUUCCGGUGCUUGUUCCAAGCCUCAGUCCCAGAGUGUUCUGUGCUGCAUUUUAUUUCGGCUGGAAAGACCUGGGGCUGAGAACAAUCAACCAUUCCAUGGGUGGUUUGACCCACAGUGGGCAUCCCAGCAAUUUGAGCAUACUCUGACCCAAGCUGCCCCUGCCAAGCCAGUCCAGGGUUCUCAACAACAUUCUCCAGCAGUUUCUAGUUCUUAUCCAUAUUCCAGUCCUGUGCAUAGCCUCCAGACACCUAAACCAGUACAACACAACAACCAGUCCUUCCAGGGUGGGUUUCCAGCAGGUUCUACACUCCAACAUGCUGAGGGUACCCAGAAGUUGGAAUAUGCUGUGCCGCCAGGCCUGACUUGGCUUCAACAGUCUCCUGCAGUUUUUAGCUCUGUGGUCCAACAGGCUGAGAACCCUCAGAAGAGGCCGUAUCCAGCAAAGGAUUUCCAGGGUUGGCAACAGCAGUCUCCUUCUGUUCCUACCACUGGUCUGGAUUCCAAGCCUGGACAGAGCCUUCAGACCCCUCAGCAAGGGCAUGGCAUCUACCAGUCAUUCCAGAGCAUAUUCACAGAAGAAACUGCAUCUCAGUCCCCUGAAAGUGCCUGGAAACCAGCAUCUGCUAAUCCAGAACAGAGCUGGCAUCAACCAUUCCCUCCAUUUUCCUACAAUGCACAAGACUUUAAGCCAGUCCAAAUCAAGUCAAAUGUAGAAGAAACUGUAUCUCAGUCCCCUGAAAGUGCCUGGGAACCAGCAUCUGCUAAUCCAGAACAGAGUUGGCAUCAACCAUUCCCUCUGGUUUCCUACAAUGCACAAGACUUUAAGCCAGUCCAAAUCAAGUCAAAUGUAGAAGAAACUGUAUCUCAGUCCCCUGAAAGUGCCUGGAAACCAGCAUCUGCUAAUCCAGAACAGAGUUGGCAUCAACCAUUCCCUCUGGUUUCCUACAAUGCACAAGACUUUAAGCCAGUCCAAGUCAAGUCAAAUGUAUUUAUAGUCAGCAACCCCCUCAUGCGCCCAAAACGUCUGCAUAUUCUCCGCAGUCUUCUGGGUACAGUUUCUCCCACGGUACAUCUUCAGGCAACUUUGGUUCAACUGUUGGUCGGACAAAGAGCUAAAGGGUAUGUUGGUUUUAAUGGAAGUAUCCAUACCGUUGAGCCAUGUCGGUGUUUGCAUUCCCUUUUCUUUAUGUCUAGACUUUGCUGCUUGAAAUGACAUUUCAAUAAACCUCUUUGACUAUAUACAGU
ensembl:lncRNA